AGGCCCGUAGCUUAAUGGUAAAGCCAUCCCUUUGGGUCUGCGUUGUCAACCACGACAUCGUUAGUUUCAUGUACGUUCGAAUCGUGCCGGGUCUA